rnacentral:rRNA from 1 species
UGCCAGCAGCCGCGGUAAUACGAAGGGGGCUAGCGUUGUUCGGAAUAACUGGGUUUAAAGGGUGCGUAGGUGGUUUUUUAAGUCAGUGGUGAAAUCCUACAGCUUAACUGUAGAUGUGCCAUUGAAACUGGGAAACUUGAGUAUGGACGAGGUAGGCGGAAUUUGUGGUGUAGCGGUGAAAUGCAUAGAUACCACAAAGAACACCGAUAGCGAAGGCAGCUUACUAGGCCAUAACUGACACUGAGGCACGAAAGCGUGGGGAGCGAACAGGAUUAGAUA